UACGAAGGGGGCUAGCGUUGCUCGGAAUUACUGGGCGUAAAGGGCGCGUAGGCGGAUAGUUUAGUCAGAGGUGAAAGCCCAGGGCUCAACCUUGGAACUGCCUUUGAUACUGGCUAUCUUGAGUUCGGGAGAGGUGAGUGGAAUGCCGAGUGUAGAGGUGAAAUUCGUAGAUAUUCGGCGGAACACCAGUGGCGAAGGCGACUCACUGGCCCGAUACUGACGCUGAGGCGCGAAAG
rnacentral:rRNA from 1 species